UUGAACGACGGAGUGUUAAAUUUCGAACAUUUCGCGCCGCGCAAUGCGUCAAGUGAAGAGUGAGAGAGAGGAAGAGAAAGAGAGAGAGAGAGAGAGAGAAAGGAAGAGGGAGAGAAAGAGAAGAGAAAGAGAGAGGAUAAGGUGUGAUGCGCGGGUGGUACGGAAGGGUAGUGGUCUCAUAAAGCGUCGCGACGAGUUCGCUGCUCCGUCAGUAUGCGUCGCGACGUCCACUGAGAGCGCAACGUUUGUUUUCGAAUCGCUGAUACUAUCGACACGUGUUUUGUCUAGUAAUUUCAAAUCUCUGUGAAUAACAUAUCUUCAUCGUUCGAUAAUUAUCGUUGAGUGUAAUAAAUGAACGGUUUCGAAGCGAGGAAAAAACUAAUUUCGAAUAAUCUCACGGGGAGAAGUGAUAACGCGAUCUCUCACGACACUGUGCACGUUUCGCGUGUCAAAGUAUGUGUGACAAAUUAUUGGGAAUUUACUCGAAAUAUGUCGAUGUACGGAAAGAUCGUAAAAUCGUUAUUAUGAGCACGAGUCUUAACGGUGGAGCCUCGGAAGCGUUAUGGGAUCGUUAGACAACUCGUCGGCCGGUGAAGAAAGGACGACAAGAAUGUCCUGUGAGAAGGCAUCACGACGCCUAAGAUAUCUGAUCGCAAAGGCCAAAAGGUUGGGUCUAACAACGGAGGAAGUCGCGGAGUUGCCGACGAUAAAGAGACUAGUACCGGGACGCGUUAUGUCGACCACGAGGACGACACUCUUUAUGAUCGUCCUGAUCCUUGGAGGAAGCCUUGUACUUGCUUUCCUUUGUGCCCCUUGCAUCGCCAGAAGCAGAACUUGAGGAAGGAAGGAUACGCUACUACUGCACCGUUGUUAUUUUUUUUAAAUUUCUUUUCAUGUUUUUUUUUUCUUUUAUUUUUUAUUUAUUUCUUAGACGAACAAACAUUUUUUACAAUGUUAUUUCCUUCACAUUAUUAUCCUUUCUAUUUUUAUUAUUCGAAUUAUUACCACGUCACCGAUGUUUCCGAUAUUCCAACGUGUUAACUUAUUCAUUCAUUGACGUUAUUAUUUCGUUGAUAUUCUGAACACAAAUGUACGUUCGUAUUUUAUGGACGUUUCCAUUGAUGCAGGAAAUUUGAGAAAAUUUGAUUAUACGGGGGGUUGGAUUCGAAUCAGGUUGUCGAAUAAUUUCUAGAACGGAUGUACUUCAUUUUUCAUCAUUUUUAUUAUGAAUAGAGAAAGGGUAGAAGAGAGAGAGCGAGAGGGAAAGAGAGAGAAAGAGAGAGAGAUAAUGAGGGGCGACAGUUGCUUGUUAAUUCGUUUUGCAUUCGUUUACGCGACAUCGCGAAGCGCGCUCACACAUGUGGGUAAAACAGUUCAUUUAUUAGUCCGAGCACACUUCAUUUUCUUCCUCGGAAUGACUCGAAAAAUCAUAAAAAUUUAUGAAUCAAGAGAGAAAGUUAGCAUUGUAUAUAUUCUAAUUUUUGAUCGCAUUUAUUAUUCCGAUUAGAUCUAAUUCGUCUAUGAAUUCUUAUUUACUGUUAUUAUUUAAACAUAUUACUUAUUAGGUACUUUUAUCACGGGUACACCAUAUUCUAGAUUUUUUAGCUUUUAUUCUUUUGACGUCCUUCUUCUAAGACUUUCAACUCUUACAUUUUUACUCACAAACGAUGUGAAAAAGUCCAUUCGGUUGCACACGGAUCGGAUUAACUCGUUUUUGAAAGCACCAGCGGCCUUUUCAAAGCAACUUUCUCUCUUUCUCUCUCUCUCUCUUUCUCUCCCUUUUCUCUUUUCUCUUCCUCUCUCACUCUCUUGUUUUUAUCUUCUCUCUUUUUCCGUCUCUCUAUUUCUUACGUAUUUCAAUCAAUUUUAUUACCUACGAAUGCAAACAAAUUUUUUUCCUAAUUAUCGUCGUCAUCAUCCUCAUCCUACACGAUUAUAACUCGAGACCCCUCAUCGAAUAUUUCAAGAUAGCCAGGAAUUAACGAAAUACCAGCAAAAUUAUGAGCGUAAUUUAGUGGAAACCCGCGGUGGAAGGGAAACCGCUGUGCGUUAAAACAAUGGCCGGGAUACGGUGCGAAAGUUCACUUCAUCCCCGUUCUUCGUCAUUGAAUUUUCCCGAGGCUAACUCGAGGACGUCUAUGAGAUCUACGAUUCUUUGGAAAUUAAAUAUCCUACACGAUUUUAUUUCAAAAGCGUAUAAAACGAACAAAAAAUCUUACGAACGCUAAUGUGACGCUAAGAAAUCGGUGAUAAAUGAGUGGCCGUGACGAAGCUAGAACGAUCUUUAUCUCACGGACCAACAAAUUGAUCGGAGAUGUGAUUCGUGGUGAUACUAGAUAUAUAAUAUUUAGUAGUUAUAUAGGAAACAAAAGGAUACACGCAGGAAGGCAGUUCCUUAUUGCGUUAUGACUCGGUUGCUUUUCUCUUACGUUUCUUUUCCUUUCGGUUUCUUGGCCCUCAAAUUAUAAAAGAAACUUUUUAUCAAAGUACUGAAGAAGUACCAGAGAGUAUGUCUUUCAUUUUAUAUUAUUUCAUUUUAUUUGUUUUUUAUUUUAUUUUAUUUACUUUUUUUUGUUUUUUCUUUAUAGAUAUACUUGUCAGGUUAGUUUAAGUGUAAUACGAGGUGUAGCGUAAAAGUAAUGCGAGAUUUAUAACGUGUAAAAUUAUACCGUAAACUUUUUGUAAUUCCAGGAUUUCCCCUUUUAUGAAAAUAGGUAAACAUUACAUGUAUGCGAAUGUUUCUGAAAGGCCAGAGUUUUGUUAGGAAACGUUGUUUAAUUUACCGUAAACGCUACGUAUAAAUAAACAACAGCCGGUAAUUAAUAUCACAAUAUAUCAACGUACAUUGAACGAUACAAAAUCCGACUAAAUUCAUUGUGACUAUACGUCGCCUUUAACAAAAUUAAUCCAAUUACUUUUACGCUACACCACAUAUCUGCGUUGUUUGUUACAUUUGAAAAUGAAAGCAUCGAUAAAUUGGACAAUAUGAUUGUAUAAGUAUAAACGAAUUUCUCCGGGAGUAAUGUCAAUGAUUCGCUCGUGUAUGAUUCGACUAAUUGAAAACAAGAAAAAAGGAUAAAAAAGUACCUAUCCAAUUGAAUUGUAUAACGCUAAUUAGGAUUUCGCUCGAACCGUACCAAUGAUUUUCGAACGUUUUAUCGGAGUCGUGUGAAACUUUACUUUUAUAUGUGAUCAAAUAAAUUUUUAGGAAAUACAAAGAGAUCUUACAUUUA